rnacentral:rRNA from 1 species
GAUGAACGCUAGCUACAGGCUUAACACAUGCAAGUCGAGGGGCAGCAUUUCAGUUUGCUUGCAAACUGGAGAUGGCGACCGGCGCACGGGUGAGUAACACGUAUCCAACCUGCCGAUAACUCGGGGAUAGCCUUUCGAAAGAAAGAUUAAUACCCGAUGGUAUAAUCAGACCGCAUGGUUUGAUUAUUAAAGAAUUUCGGUUAUCGAUGGGGAUGCGUUCCAUUAGGCAGUUGGUGAGGUAACGGCUCACCAAACCUUCGAUGGAUAGGGGUUCUGAGAGGAAGGUCCCCCACAUUGGAACUGAGACACGGUCCAAACUCCUACGGGAGGCAGCAGUGAGGAAUAUUGGUCAAUGGGCGCAGGCCUGAACCAGCCAAGUAGCGUGAAGGAUGACUGCCCUAUGGGUUGUAAACUUCUUUUAUAUGGGAAUAAAGUUUUCCACGUGUGGAAUUUUGUAUGUACCAUAUGAAUAAGGAUCGGCUAACUCCGUGCCAGCAGCCGCGGUAAUACGGAGGAUCCGAGCGUUAUCCGGAUUUAUUGGGUUUAAAGGGAGCGUAGGUGGACAGUUAAGUCAGUUGUGAAAGUUUGCGGCUCAACCGUAAAAUUGCAGUUGAUACUGGCUGUCUUGAGUACAGUAGAGGUGGGCGGAAUUCGUGGUGUAGCGGUGAAAUGCUUAGAUAUCACGAAGAACUCCGAUUGCGAAGGCAGCUCACUGGACUGCAACUGACACUGAUGCUCGAAAGUGUGGGUAUCAAACAGGAUUAGAUACCCUGGUAGUCCACACAGUAAACGAUGAAUACUCGCUGUUUGCGAUAUACAGUAAGCGGCCAAGCGAAAGCAUUAAGUAUUCCACCUGGGGAGUACGCCGGCAACGGUGAAACUCAAAGGAAUUGACGGGGGCCCGCACAAGCGGAGGAACAUGUGGUUUAAUUCGAUGAUACGCGAGGAACCUUACCCGGGCUUAAAUUGCAUUUGAAUAUAUUGGAAACAGUAUAGCCGUAAGGCAAAUGUGAAGGUGCUGCAUGGUUGUCGUCAGCUCGUGCCGUGAGGUGUCGGCUUAAGUGCCAUAACGAGCGCAACCCUUAUCUUUAGUUACUAACAGGUCAUGCUGAGGACUCUAGAGAGACUGCCGUCGUAAGAUGUGAGGAAGGUGGGGAUGACGUCAAAUCAGCACGGCCCUUACGUCCGGGGCUACACACGUGUUACAAUGGGGGGUACAGAAGGCAGCUACCUGGUGACAGGAUGCUAAUCCCAAAAGCCUCUCUCAGUUCGGAUCGAAGUCUGCAACCCGACUUCGUGAAGCUGGAUUCGCUAGUAAUCGCGCAUCAGCCAUGGCGCGGUGAAUACGUUCCCGGGCCU